rnacentral:rRNA from 1 species
AAUAUUGCACAAUGGGCGCAAGCCUGAUGCAGCAACGCCGCGUGCGGGAUGACGGCCUUCGGGUUGUAAACCGCUUUUAGUAAGGAAGAAGGGGGGCCUUCGGGUUUCUUGACGGUACUUGCAGAAAAAGGACCGGCUAACUACGUGCCAGCAGCCGCGGUAAUACGUAGGGUCCGAGCGUUGUCCGGAAUUAUUGGGCGUAAAGAGCUCGUAGGCGGUUUGUCGCGUCUGCUGUGAAAUCCCGAGGCUCAACCUCGGGCCUGCAGUGGGUACGGGCAGACUUGAGUGGUGUAGGGGAGACUGGAAUUCCUGGUGUAGCGGUGGAAUGCGCAGAUAUCAGGAGGAACACCGAUGGCGAAGGCAGGUCUCUGGGCACUUACUGACGCUGAGGAGCGAAAGCGUGGGGAGCGAACAGG